GGGGCUAUAGCUCAGUUGGCAGAGCGCGUCCAUGGCAUGGACGAGGUCGCCGGUUCGAACCCGGCUAGCUCCA
rnacentral:tRNA from 1 species